AAGUCGUAACAAGGUUUCCGUAGGUGAACCUGCGGAAGGAUCAUUAACACGUAUCCUACGUAUCAACCCCUUCGUGCACUUUCUGUUAUAGUUGUUGAAGGAUUUGAACUUGAAGGUUAGUGGCGUUGUGAGGUCGCAAGACUUUGCUUCGUUGUUGCCUUCAGGGUCAGAAACUUUCAUAGCUUCAACUAACCCCUUUGUAAACAUUUCUUACUGAAAUAAUGUGAGUGCGUGCUGGAAACGGCCGUACGAACAAUAUUACGAAAUGCUGACAACUCUUAGCAACGGAUAUCUUGGUUCUC
rnacentral:misc_RNA from 1 species